rnacentral:rRNA from 1 species
AAAGAUUAAGCCAUGCAUGUCUAAGUAAAAGCAACUUUUACCGUGAAACUGCGAAUGGCUCAUUAUAUCAGUACUAAUUUAUUUGAUAGUCCCUUACUACUUGGAUAACCGUAGUAAUUCUAGAGCUAAUACAUGCACUACAGUCCCUGACGCUUGCGGAGGGGAUGUAUUUAUUAGAUCGAAGCCAAUGCGGUGCUUGCACCGGUAUUGUGGUGAGUCAUGAUAAGUUUGCGAAUCGCAUGCCUUCUGGGCGGCGAUGUUUCAUUCAAGUUUCUGCCCUAUCAGCUUUGGAUGGUAGGGUAUUGGCCUACCAUGGCUU